GGAAAAUUGACGGUGAAUCUCCACGCAGUUGUUUCAUUCGACCUCCAAAAAGGAGAGCAACGUCGGCAAUUGCAGCACAAACAAGCAACAUCAGUCCUAAGCAACUACAUGAUAGGAAUUCUGCCGUAGCUCAAGCACAACAAGACGGCUGUACUGGCAAUUUUAGGAUAUUUGAUUCUCCAUUUGGAAAUUUUCUUGUACCUGUAAUUCCAACUCCUGCUGAACUGGCCGGAUCGGAUAAUCCAUCCAUGCUUUGUAAAGGUGAUUAAAUCUAAGAAUCAAAACUGAUUUUUCCAUAGUGUGGA
rnacentral:misc_RNA from 1 species